AUGCAUAAACGUCAUUUGUUCGGGUUAAAAUAUAUGAAUAAAAACAUAAAAUAAGUAAUUUCUUGGCUGUCAGCUAACGAUACGUUCACCCCGGAACAACAAGAACUCUCACAACAGCACAAAAAAGCGUUCUCAAGUGGAGAAAAUAAAGUCAAUGAACAUCCGAAAAGAAGGAAUCCAGCACCCCGGCUCUCCACCCAGACCACCCUCGUCCGGAUCAGAUGUUGCAUUUUGAAAUAAAAGGCCUCUGAAAACUGG